ACGGAAGGCAGCAGUGGGGAAUAUUGCACAAUGGGCGAAAGCCUGAUGCAGCGACGCCGCGUGAGUGAAGAAGUAUCUCGGUAUGUAAAGCUCUAUCAGCAGGGAAGAAAAUGACGGUACCUGACUAAGAAGCCCCGGCUAACUACGUGCCAGCAGCCGCGGUAAUACGUAGGGGGCAAGCGUUAUCCGGAUUUACUGGGUGUAAAGGGAGCGUAGACGGUUUGGCAAGUCUGAAGUGAAAUGCGGGGGCUCAACUCCUGAACUGCUUUGGAAACUGUCGAACUAGAGUGCAGGAGAGGUAAGUGGAAUUCCUAGUGUAGCGGUGAAAUGCGUAGAUAUUAGGAGGAACACCAGUGGCGAAGGCGGCUUACUGGACUGUAACUGACGUUGAGGCUCGAAAGCGUGGGGAGCAUACAGGAUUAGAUACCCUGGUA
rnacentral:rRNA from 1 species